rnacentral:rRNA from 1 species
CCUACGGGAGGCAGCAGUGAGGAAUAUUGGUCAAUGGCCGGAAGGCUGAACCAGCCAUGCCGCGUGAAGGUCAGUGCCCUAUGGGCGUUAAACUUCUUUUGUGCGGGAGCAAUAAUGGUCACGUGUGGCCAGACGAGAGUACCGUACGAAUAAGCAUCGGCUACCUCCGUGCCAGCAGCCGCGGUAAUACGGGGGAUGCAAGCGUUAUCCGGAUUUAUUGGGUUUAAAGGGUGCGUAGGCUGUGAGGUAAGUCAGCGGUGAAAUGCCCCCGCUCAACGGGGUGAAGUGCCAUUGAUACUGCCUGGCUGGAAUGCGGAUGCCGUGGGAGGAAUGUGUGGUGUAGCGGUGAAAUGCAUAGAUAUCACACAGAACACCGAUUGCGAAGGCAUCUCACGAAUCCGCGAUUGACGCUGAUGCACGAAAGCGUGGGUAUCAAACAGGAUUAGAUACCCCAGUAGUC